rnacentral:lncRNA from 1 species
GAUGCUUUGUUGCUAAUUCUCUUCGUGUCUUCUGCCCACACUUUGUUUUGGUUGUCAAAGUUCGUUACUGAGACAAGACUAAGAUCACCCUGCUUUGACAGUCGAAGAUUGACUCAGCGUGACACACCAUGAGGUUCCUUCCUACAGUUAUGGUUCUGUGAUGGCUACAGAAAACAUGGGAAUAGUCUAUUCAAAAGAAAGAUAAGCAAACAAAUGAAAACACAAAAACAAAAAAAACUCUUCCCCAUACCAUCUUAUGUGUGAUCACUCUCCCAGUCUGAGCUUCGAAGAGAAUACAGAAUGACCACACAGCACAUGUUCCUCCUCCAUUCUGUCUGGACCCAACUCAUACUUAUUUACUGAUGGUUCCACGCUGGCAAGGUCGUCUGACAUCCUUCAGCAGGAAGUGUG